UUGUUUUCAUGCUCUGUCCUCAGUGGAUAGAAUGAACAGCUGUUCCAUCUCUUUCCCUGUCUUUUAAAUAUUUAAAAACUGUCAGCAAAUUUUCUCCUCUACCACCACCCUUUCCUUUCCUCCAGGCUAAACAUGUCCAGUUCCUGCAAUCUGG